GUAAUUCUCCUGCCUUAGCCUCCUGAGUGGCUGGGAUUACAGGUUUUGGUCACUGCACGGUAGUUUCAAAUGGAUCCUCCAGAUGGCGAUCAUGUCUUACUUAGAGAACAGCCAUUGCCACCCACUUCUGCCUACUAAUUGUAUUGGUCCUGUGUUUUGCUUGAUUGCUUGGCAAAGAAAAAGUGGAACUCUUUUCUGUCUCUAUAAAUCUACUUACACAAAUUAUCAUUAAAUGGAUUUUUGUAUAUGGA